UUUCAGGUUUUAAUUGUAAGCACCAAGCACAUACCAUUUCAUCUCAUUAAAUUUUUUUUUUUUCCCAUAGAAAAAGAAUUCCAUCAUUUUGCUUUUGUUCCUUCCAUUCAAUUCCGUUGUCUUUGAAUAAUUCUAGAAAACGACACAGAAAUUGCAAGCUAUGCUUACCAAAGCCAUAAAUACCGAAACCAAAUUAGCAAACACUAUUAAAUCUGCAUGCAUCUCACCUGAAUACAAGCCUAGGAAACGCAGGGCUUGAUCAACAACACAAGAGCAAGUGAUUAAGAUGCACGUCCAAGUAGAAUCCCUCAUGCAAGGAGCAGCACAUACGGCUUAUGGAACAUCCGCCCAUAUAUAUAUAUAUAUAUGCAUGCACAUAUAUAUAUAUAUAUAUACAUGCACACAUAUCAUACAUGUAUAUAUAUAUAUAUAUAUAUAUAUACAUGCACACAUAUCAUACAUGUAUGAUUGUGCAUUUCUCAGAAACAAAACUUGUAUCAAAUCGCAUGGUGUACAACUGCAUACAUAGGAUCCCCA
rnacentral:lncRNA from 1 species